UACAGAGGUCUCAAGCGUUGUUCGGAUUCAUUGGGCGUAAAGGGUGCGUAGGUGGCGCCGUAAGUCGGGUGUGAAAUUUCGGAGCUUAACUCCGAAACUGCAUUCGAUACUGCGGUGCUUGAGGACUGGAGAGGAGACUGGAAUUCAUGGUGUAGCAGUGAAAUGCGUAGAGAUCAUGAGGAAGACCAGUGGCGAAGGCGGGUCUCUGGACAGUUCCUGACACUGAGGCACGAAGGCCAGGGGAGCAAACGGGG
rnacentral:rRNA from 1 species